GUGGCUGUUUGUUUCCGUGUGUGUGUUUGUCGCCGCACAGUACUGUUUCGGUUUGGUUAUGGCACAUAUUCGUUUAUUGUUUUUAUUUAUUUAAUAGUGUUCAGUGCUUUUCUUAUUAAAAUCGUCAUGAACACUUACCACGCCGCAUCUUGGUGCGAUCCUUACUCCUCUUCAGACGAAGAGGAAAUCUGCCGUUCCAAUUUCAACCGUCCCUGAAGGACAAUACAGAAGAGGCACACGAGUAUUUGCUCUUAUUCCUUCCCUUUCUAUAAUGUAUUUUGCAAUAAAAUUAGCAAGUGUAGCAAGAUCAUUGCUUUACUCUACUAGGACUCGAGACCACAGCAGCGAUCCUGCUCUUGCCCUACCUCUUCAAUGAGGACCCGAGUGGCCUUUAUGUCCGUGACAAGAUUUCACCGCUCCACACUCCUUUACUGCACAUCGACGGAAAUCCAUUUCACCAUUGAGAGUGAAAUCCCGCUGGCCUUUGAUGGGGAGAACAUGCACGCCCUAGAGGACAUUCCCAUGGGACUUGUGGCUCUGCUAGGGCUUUUAUUUCCCAAAGAGUUGUGAGAAACACGUAUAUUCUUAAAUUACUGUGUUCUGAGGAUAAGAGAUGUUGGGGUGAAGUUACCAGGGCCGGUCAUAAAGAUGGCAAACUUCCUAACAUAACCAAGUGGUUUAUGGGCAAGUGGUCUAGGACACAGACACACUCAAGCAGAAAACAUCUAUAUUUAGCAUUGUCUACAAUAUUGUUAGUUUACCUAUGCUUCAUUUUUUAUGUAUCUUGUUUUUAUUGUACAUUAUUUAAAAUUGUAAAAAAAAUGUAAUAAAGCACUAUACAAAGUAAA